rnacentral:rRNA from 1 species
AGGAUGGGACUGCGGCUGAUUAGGUUGUUGGUGAGGUAAUGGCUCACCAAGCCUAUAAUCAGUAGGGGCUAUGUGAGUAGGAGCCCCGAGACGGGCACUGAGACAAGGGCCCGAGCCCUACGGGGUGCAGCAGGCGCGAAAUUUCCGCAAUGCGCGAAAGCGUGACGGGGGCAGUCUGAGUGCCAUCCUAACGGAUGGCUUUUCUCGAGUUUUAAUUGCUCGGGGAAUAAGUGGUGGGCAAAACUCGUGCCAGCCGCCGCGGUAAUACGAGUAGCACUAGUGGUAUCCACGAAUAUUGAGCUUAAAGCGCCCGUAGCCGGCUCGGUCAGUUCCUUGUGAAAUCUGUCGACUUAAUCGACAGGCUUGCAGGGAAUACUACCGGGCUCGGGAGUGGGGGAGGCAAGAGGUACUCUAGGGGGAGCGGUAAAAUGCUUUAAUCCUUAGAGGACCAACAGUGGCGAAGGCGUCUUGCCAAAACACGUCCGACGGUGAGGGACGAAGGCUAGGGGAGCGAACGGGAUUAGAUACCCCGGUAGUCCUAGCAGUAAAUGAUGCAGACUUGGCGUUGCGGUCACCACGAGUGACCGCAGUGCCGUAGGGAAACCGUUUAGUCUGCCGCUUGGGGAGUACGAUCGCAAGAUUGAAACUUAAAGGAUUGGCGGGGGAGCACCACAAGGGUGGAUGCUGCG